UGCCAGCAGCCGCGGUAAUACGGAGGGUGCAAGCGUUGUUCGGAAUUACUGGGCGUAAAGCGCGUGUAGGCGGCUAUAUAAGUCGGAUGUGAAAGCCCUUGGCUCAACUGAGGAAGUGCAUCCGAUACUGUAUAGCUUGAGUCUCGGAGAGGGUUGUGGAAUUCCCGGUGUAGAGGUGAAAUUCGUAGAUAUCGGGAGGAACACCAGUGGCGAAGGCGACAACCUGGACGAUGACUGACGCUGAGACGCGAAAGCGUGGGGAGCAAACAGGAUUAGAUA
rnacentral:rRNA from 1 species